rnacentral:sRNA from 1 species
GCCAGGCGUGGUGGUGCAUGCCAGUGGUCCCAGUUACUUAGGGCGUUGAGGUAGGAGCAUCUCUAGAGCCCAUGAGUUUGAAACCAGCCUGGGCAACAUAGCAAGACCCCUUCUCAG